rnacentral:rRNA from 1 species
GACGAACGCUGGCGGCGUGCUUAACACAUGCAAGUCGAACGGAAAGGCCUCUUUCGGGGGGUACUCGAGUGGCGAACGGGUGAGUAACACGUGAGUAACCUGCCCUUGACUUUGGGAUAACUUCCGGAAACUGGGGCUAAUACCGGAUAGGAGCUCCUGCUGCAUGGUGGGGGUUGGAAAGUUUCGGCGGUUGGGGAUGGACUCGCGGCUUAUCAGCUUGUUGGUGGGGUAGUGGCUUACCAAGGCGUUGACGGGUAGCCGGCCUGAGAGGGUGACCGGCCACAUUGGGACUGAGAUACGGCCCAGACUCCUACGGGAGGCAGCAGUGGGGAAUAUUGCACAAUGGGUGGAAGCCUGAUGCAGCAACGCCGUGUGCGGGAUGACGGCCUUCGGGUUGUAAACCGCUUUCGCUCAUGACGAAGCUUUGUGUGACGGUAGUGGGUAAAGAAGCACCGGCUAACUACGUG